rnacentral:rRNA from 1 species
UGGGGAACCUGCCCCAUAGUCUGGGAUACCACUUGGAAACAGGUGCUAAUACCGGAUAAGAAAGCAGAUCGCAUGAUCAGCUUUUAAAAGGCGGCGUAAGCUGUCGCUAUGGGAUGGCCCCGCGGUGCAUUAGCUAGUUGGUAAGGUAAAGGCUUACCAAGACGAUGAUGCAUAGCCGAGUUGAGAGACUGAUCGGCCACAUUGGGACUGAGACACGGCCCAAACUCCUACGGGAGGCAGCAGGC